rnacentral:tRNA from 2 species
CAGGACGUAGCUAUAAAUCUAAAGCACUCAGCUUACACCUGAGAGAUGCCUUCUAACCUAGGCCGACCUGA